ACUGAAAACAGGCCCAAAGGGAAGCGCUUUCCAGCCGCAUUGCUUCUCGCCGGCUGGCUUCUGUUCUGUGCUUGGGGAUGUGCCAGCCUUCAGUGCCUCCAUGCUUUUGAUUCCUGUUUAUCCCAGGCAACAUGAUUGUCUAUAAUUACAUAUAAUCUCCCCCUUGUUUACUCUUCUUCCUCCAGGUCUGAACACAAGCUCGAUGGCAACUCUCUGCUCAGGCUGCCAAGGCUCCGGCUCCCAACUGCAUCCUCCACCUUCUCUUUCAGAACCAGGCACCAGCACAGGGACUGAAAGCCGAUGGCUGGGAGGAAGGAGUGGUUGUCACAGUCUGCCCAUCCCCGUUGCCUCAUUGCCCACAUGUGGGAGUGCAGCCCCUCUGCAACAGCUGUGGCCCCACAGAGCAGUGGCUCUCACAGUUCCCAACACAACCGUAAGCGAUCUCCUGAACGGAGCGUUCUACCUUCAAGUGAAGAAAAGCAACUGAAGCAGAUGGGCUUGUAAACAGCAGAGAGUCGGCUCUCCCACAGAGCUCCUUGCAGAGUGGAAAGGAGCAGAGUGGUUAGUAAACACUGAGCAACUUUCAUUUUCUGGGCUGAAAUGGGAUGAUCUGGGGGGGUAGGACAGUACAGGAACAGCAGCCAUCACAUCCUGGCACAAUCAGCUACUCCCAGCAGAAGCCUUGCGUGUUUGAACUUGUAGCAAAUUGGAGAAUAUGGGAAAGGGGGGUAUGUUUUCCACAUCAGGGAAUUUGUGGAUAAGGAAAACAAGAUUCCCAGCAGUCCUUUUGCUCUAGCAUUUUAGUCUUGGUUUCUGAAGAGGCAUCCUGCUGUUUAUCUGCCAUUCUUCCCUCCCCGUAAGUUACUUCUCAGACUAUCAGUCAAUCAG
rnacentral:lncRNA from 14 species